UACGGGGGGGGCAAGCGUUGUUCGGAAUUACUGGGCGUAAAGGGCUCGUAGGUGGCCAACUAAGUCAUACGUGAAAUCCCCAGGCUCAACCUGGGAACUGCGUCUGAUACUGGAUGGCUUGAAUUCGGGAGAGGGAUGCAGAAUUCCAGGUGUAGCGGUGAAAUGCGUAGAUAUCUGGAGGAAUACCGGUGGCGAAGGCGGCAUCCUGGACCGAUAUUGACACUGAGGAGCGAAAGCUAGGGGAGCAAACGGG
rnacentral:rRNA from 1 species